AUACGGAGGAUCCGAGCGUUAUCCGGAUUUAUUGGGUUUAAAGGGAGCGUAGGUGGACAGUUAAGUCAGUUGUGAAAGUUUGCGGCUCAACCGUAAAAUUGCAGUUGAUACUGGCUGUCUUGAGUACAGUAGAGGUGGGCGGAAUUCGUGGUGUAGCGGUGAAAUGCUUAGAUAUCACGAAGAACUCCGAUUGCGAAGGCAGCUCACUGGACGGCAACUGACACUGAUGCUCGAAAGUGUGGGUAUCAAACAGGAUUAGAUACCCUGGUAGUCCACACAGUAAACGAUGAAUACUCGCUGUUUGCGAUAUACAGUAAGCGGCCAAGCGAAAGCAUUAAGUAUUCCACCUGGGGAGUACGCCGGCAACGGUGAAACUCAAAGGAAUUGACGGGG
rnacentral:rRNA from 1 species